rnacentral:lncRNA from 1 species
GAGUUUAGUCGUCUUCUGAUAUGUAUGUAACCUGCGUUUGACGCCAGAGAGCUGACUGUAAAUCAACUGAUGAUGUCGUCGUAUUGAGCGACUGCCAGUGAGCAGCGGCGAUGGUAAACACACAUGCACGAGCGGCGAACCGCCGCCGGCGGCAGUGGAAAAAGACUCAAGUUAGCCAGGCCACAACGUACGUGCAUACAUGGACUAUUGAGCUUUGACUUCCUUUAGUUUAGUGCAGUCGGUUGAAAUAGUAAUUUAUAUAUAGGCUAAUAAUACAAUUAGCUCCGGCCAAUUAACACAUAUACAAUACCUGCUACAAAUCCUUGAGGGGGUCGAGCGAUUAAGAGGGGUCAAGCCCCUGCUCGCCCUGCCUGUCUCCGCCCCUGGUUUAGGGGUUCGAUGAUGAUAGUUGUUGAGUUAAUAGGCAAUUUUUCGAACAGAUUAAUUCAUGAAAUAAUUACUAACAUGGCAUUGACUAGGUUCAUGACAUACUGAUCACGGAGUAUACUAGCAAGUACUACGCAUAUAGCAGAAACAUCUACGCAUAUAGGCAGUACUACUAGUGCAGACAAAAACAGGAGAGAGGCAAACACAUCAUACCCUCUGAUCGGCCAGUUGGCCGUAGCAGCAGCGUCGGCGGCGGCAGUAUCAUCUGCCGCCUUCUUCUUGGCUUCGGCCUUCUCGCGGAGACGGUCAGCUUCGCUUGGUGAAGACAUGGCGAUGACGAGGGCGACGCGGACGUAGACGAAGCAGACGGACGGAGGCGACCAGUCGCGUGAUCGCUCCCCAAAAACCUAAUCGCCCCUCUCCCGUAGAGGAACCGGAGAGGCGAGGUUUCGGAGGCCUGCUCUCCCGUCGACCGUGUACGCAGUAAACGGGACGGAGUCGCCGGCGGCAGCAGCAAUCAAGGAACGAACGCGUGAGGCAGAUUUAAUUUGAUUCUCGUGACGGCUAGGGUAGGCGAUAGCCUGCUUAUAAAGGCGGCUGGGUGGAGAGACGUGGGCCAAACCCACGUCCGAGUCAGUAACAGCCACGAUCCGAUGUCUCGGAUCGUGCCUUGUCCGUUACGUAUUCUCCGUUCCUGACCGGCAAAAAUAAGCGCGUAGGUAUGAGCUCGGCUCGGCUCAUUCCCGCAGCGUGGCGCGUCGUGACGAGGCGAGGCGUGGCGUGCGUGGCGAGGCGGGCGGCGGAGGAGGAGUGCGCGAGGGCACCUUCUCUUCUCACUCUCCAAUAGCAUGUGGAAAAGAGACCCUUAUAAAGGGGUCCAACUUCUCCUCAACUAACGGGGUGGGACUAAACUUCCCACCACUUGUCAUGCCACCACCUACAUGGGCCCAUGGAGAUUUUUCUGAAAUUUGUCUUAUGGGCCUAAGGCACAUCUCUAAUUUCAACAAUCCCCCGCCAGAUCUCAAGGGCACAUCGUGUUCCCUCGUUCCAAUCACUGUUUUAAUAUACCAGCAUUUCAGUGAAGACCUGUUAAGGUUGAGCUUCACCUAGAGCAAGUAGCUACACCCCUUUACAACUGAACAAUGGACUAUGCCUUGAAUUGUCAGUUUGACGUAAAGGAGCUUCACCACAAGUCUUACUAGUACUAGGCUGCCGAAGGUGACCCCUCGGGUGGAGCAUAUUAGUCACACUCCUGGCCUAUUCAUGAGUUUACUAGAGAUCACCCAAAUCUCAUAGAUUGUGACCAGCAGUCAAGCUCAUAUAGGUAUGUUCCUCCAAAGAUCGCUCUGUAGGACAGCAUCUUGCUUACAUAUAAGCUUUAGAACACAUUAAGACAGUAGUCAUCCUACCAUACAGUAUCCGAGAGCAUUGCAUCUCCAACGGAGUGGGUUAGUUAAGUUACUCUCCUCAGUUCACCACUGGCUUGUUUUCCCAGGUCCUACUUCACGGGAUCUCCGAUCAUAUAGGUUGGGUUACUGCCAUGGCAACUCAUGUGGGUCUCAUACCCAUCUCCCUCGAUGCACUGUCUAUCACAACACGUGAUAGCCCUUUAGUAAAGGGAUCCGCCAGAUUCUUAGCCGUUUGGGUGUAAUCCAACGCUAUCACUCCGGAGUUUCUCAAACGUCUGACAGACUUCAAUCUCAUUCUUAUAUGUUUAUUGGACUUCAUAUUGUCCUUUGAACUCUUCACUUUAACAAUAACUGUUUGAUUAUCGCAGUUCAUAAGGAUAGCCGGAACCGGCUUCUCAACCACAGGUAAGUCCAUCAAAAGAUCUCGAAGAAAUUCUGCUUCGACACCAGAUGUGUCUAAUGCUGUUAAUUCUACUUCCAUUGUCGAUCUUGUUAAGAUCGUUUGCUUGCAAGACUUCCAGGAAACAACACCACCCCCAAGAGUAAACAUAUACCCAGUAGUGGCCUUCAUCUCAUCAGCAUCAGAGAUCCAAUUCGCAUCACUAUACCCUUCAAGUACUGAUGGGAAUCCCGUAUAGUGAAGCCCGUGGUUGACAGUACCUUUCAAGUAGCGCAUAAUUCUUUCAACAGCACGCCAAUGAACAUCGUCCGGGUUUGCAACAAACCGGCUAAGUUUGCUCACAACAAAUGCGAUGUCAGGCCUCGUUGCGCUAGCUAGGUACAUAAGUGAACCGAUAAUUUGAGAGAAUCUCAAUUGAUCUAUAGUUGUGCCUUUAAACUUUCGAAUAAGCACACUAGGAUCAUAAGGUGUUUGAGAAAUUUUGCAGUCUGAAUAUCCAAAGCGACUCAAAAUCUUCUCAACAUAGUGGGAUUGCAGAAGUGUAAUCCCACCCUCAUCAUCUCUCAACAGCUUGAUGUUUAAGAUAACAUCAGCCACCCCAAGGUCCUUCAUCUCAAAGUUUUGAGACAGAAAAGACUUAACCUCCUCAAUUACUUUCAGGUUGGUUCCAAAUAUCAGUAUGUCAUCAACAUACAAGCACAAUAUAACUCCUUCUCCCCCACCAUGGCGAUAGUAUACACAUUUGUCAGCUUCAUUAAUAACGAAGCCAACAGAUGUCAGAGUUGUAUUAAACUUCUCAUGCCAUUGCUUAGGUGCUUGUCUCAGACCAUAUAAAGAUUUUAGCAACUUACACACCUUUCCUUCCUGACCUUCUAUCACAAAGCCAUCUGGCUGUUGCAUAUAGAUUUCCUCAUUUAGCUCUCCAUUCAGGAAAGCCGUCUUAACGUCCAUUUGUUGAACGAGAAGACCAUGAGAGGCCGCCAAUGAGAGUAGUACUCGAAUGGUGGUCAGUCUAGCCACAAGUGAAUAAGUGUCGAAGAAAUCUUCUUCUUCUUUCUGGGCAUAGCCCUUGGCCACAAGCUUAGCCUUGUACUUUUCAAUCGUACCAUCGGGCCUAAGCUUCUUUUUGAACACCCACUUGCAUCCCAAUGGUGUGCAACCAUAGGGACGAUCAGUGAUUUCCCAUGUCCCAUUAGCCAUGAUGGAAUCCAUCUCGCUACGGACCGCAGCUUUCCAGUAAUCAGCAUCUGGAGAAGCAUACGCUUCUGAAAUAGAAGUGAGAUUAUCAUCCACGAGGUAUACGAAGAAAUCAUCACCAAAGGUCUUUGCAGUCCUUUGUCUCUUGCCCCUACCACGGGCUUCCUCGUCAUCCUCCUCAGGAUUUUCAUCAUGUGUUUGUUCAUAGUAUUCCAUAGGAAUGGCAGGCUCACGAGUUAUCUCAGAUUCCUGUCUAGAAGUGCUUUGCAUAUCUCUCAUGGGAAAUAUAUCCUCAAAGAAUGUAGCAUCCCUUGACUCCAUUAUUGUACCGACCUUCAGGUCAGGUACCUCAGAUUUCACUACUAGAAAUCUAUAGCCUACGCUAUUCUUAGCGUAUCCCAAAUUAACGCAGUCCACAGUCUUUGGUCCAAGCUUAUGCUUCUUGGGGAUCGGUACAUUGACUUUCGCCAAGCAGCCCCAAGUACGUAAGUACGAGAGCGUCGUCCUUCUCUUUGACCACUCCUCGUAGGGAGUGACCUCAUUAUCUUUUGUAGGAUCUUUAUUCAGGACAUGACACGCGGUCAAUAUAGCCUCCCCCCACCAUGCCUUGGAUAAACCCGAUGUAUCUAACAUGACGUUAACCAAAUCAGUUAGAGUACGGUUUUUCCGCUCGGCAACCCCGUUUGACUGGGGUGAAUAGGGAGGCGUCCUCUCAUGAAUAAUGCCGUGUUCCGCACAAAAUGAAUUAAAUUCGUUUGAGAAGUACUCUCCACCACGAUCAGAACGGACUCGUUUAAUUUUCUUUUCAAGUUGAUUCUCAACUUCCGCCUUAUAGAUUUUAAAGUAGUGUAGAGCCUCAUCUUUAGUAUUUAACAGAUACACAUAGCAAAAUCUAGUGGAAUCAUCUAUCAAUGUCAUUAAGUAUUUCUUUCCACCUUUAGUCAACACACCAUUCAUCUUACAAAGAUCAGAAUGUAUGAGUUCUAAUGGUGCCAAGUGUCUCUCCUCUGCAGCCUUGUAAGGCUUGCGAGGUUGCUUUGCUUGCACACACGAAUGGCACUUAGAACCUUUGGCUAAAGUAAAAGUUGGGAUUAAAUUCAGUUUUGCUAGCCGCGACAUAACACCGAAACUUAUGUGACAAAGACGUGAAUGCCAAACUUCAGAUUCAUUAACACUCGAAUGAAUAUUGUUCACGACUUUAUUACAAAAAUCUGCAAGAGAAAGGCAGAACAGACCUCCGCAUUCAUAACCUUUUCCAACGAAAAGUCCAUAUUUCGUAACUACUACUUUAUUAGACUCGAAUACCAACUUAAACCCUUCUCUACAUAGAAGGGAGCCACUAACGAGAUUCUUCUUGAUGGCGGGGACAUGCUGCACGUUCUUCAGCAGCACGAUCCUUCCCGAACUAAACUUCAGAUCGACCGUGCCAACACCAAGAACAGAAGCACUCGCGCCAUUCCCCAUCAAUACGGACCCGCGACCGGUGGCCUUAUAAGAAGAGAACAAUGAUAAGUCAGCACACACAUGAAUAUUUGCACCCGUGUCCACCCACCAAUCGGUGGACUGACAAACUGUAAAUACAGUAAGUAAAUUACCGUACCCAGAUGCACCACUUUCAUUGUUGCCCACGAUCAUAUUGGCAGAGUUGGAGUCCUGUGCCAGCUUCUUGUACUUGUUUGGGCAUUUGUUCGCCCAAUGUUCCUCUGAACCACAAGUAUAGCAGCCAUCUCCUUUCUUAUUCUUCUUGAAGGGCUUCUUUCCCUUCUUCUUGAAGUCGGUAUUCUGUUGGACAGAGUUCUUUCCCUUGGGCUUGUGGGAAUUGAAGUUCCUCUGAUGUACCAUAUUGGCAGCAGAAGAGCUUUCCACCGCUUUUCCAUUGGAGUCCUUUGCUCUCGAGUUCUGCUCAACACUUAGAUGGCCGAUGAUGUCCUCUACUGAGAACUCACGCCUCUGAUGUUUCAGAGUAGUAGCAAAGUUCCUCCAGGAAUUAGGGAGCUUAGCAAUUAUACAGCCCGCGACAAACUUGCCCGGCAAAUUGCACUUAAGAACCUCAAGUUCCUUAGCUAUGCAUAUUAUCUCAUGAGCUUGUUCCAAUACAGAACGGUUGUCAACCAUCUUGUAAUCGUGGAACUGCUCCAUAACAUACAUCUCACUCCCAGCAUCGGUGGCCCCGAAUUUAGAUUCGAGCGCCUCCCACAAGUCCUUGGCAACAUGCAUAUGUAAAUAUGCAUCAACCAGCUUAUCUCCGAUCACGCUAAUGACUGCUCCAAGGAAUAGGACGGUGGCCUCCUUAAACAUCUUCUCCUGUUCAGGAGUAAUAGUUUCCGUAGGAGUGACACCGGCUACCCAGAACACGUUCAUAGCUGUGAGCCAUAAGGUGGUUCUUGUUUGCCCACGCUUGAAAAAAGUACCGGUAAACUUAUCCGGUUUCAGUGCAGCAGCAAAACCAUUACUCGAAAAAUUCCUAUAGACAUUAGGUUUUUGGAUUGUUGAGUUAAUAGGCAAUUUUCCGAGCAGAUUAAUCCAUGAAAUAAUUACUAACAUGGCAUUGACUAGGUUCAUGACAUACUGAUCACGGAGUAUACUAGCAAGUACUACGCAUAUAGCAGAAACAUCUACGCAUAUAGGCAGUACUACUAGUGCAGACAAAAACAGGAGAGAGGCAAACACAUCAUACCCUCUGAUCGGCCAGUUGGCCGUAGCAGCAGCGUCGGCGGCGGCAGUAUCAUCUGCCGCCUUCUUCUUGGCUUCGGCCUUCUCGCGGAGACGGUCAGCUUCGCUUGGUGAAGACAUGGCGAUGACGAGGGCGACGCGGACGUAGACGAAGCAGACGGACGGAGGCGACCAGUCGCGUGAUCGCUCCCCAAAAACCUAAUCGCCCCUCUCCCGUAGAGGAACCGGAGAGGCGAGGUUUCGGAGGCCUGCUCUCCCGUCGACCGUGUACGCAGUAAACGGGACGGAGUCGCCGGCGGCAGCAGCAAUCAAGGAACGAACGCGUGAGGCAGAUUUAAUUUGAUUCUCGUGACGGCUAGGGUAGGCGAUAGCCUGCUUAUAAAGGCGGCUGGGUGGAGAGACGUGGGCCAAACCCACGUCCGAGUCAGUAACAGCCACGAUCCGAUGUCUCGGAUCGUGCCUUGUCCGUUACGUAUUCUCCGUUCCUGACCGGCAAAAAUAAGCGCGUAGGUAUGAGCUCGGCUCGGCUCAUUCCCGCAGCGUGGCGCGUCGUGACGAGGCGAGGCGUGGCGUGCGUGGCGAGGCGGGCGGCGGAGGAGGAGUGCGCGAGGGCACCUUCUCUUCUCACUCUCCAAUAGCAUGUGGAAAAGAGACCCUUAUAAAGGGGUCCAACUUCUCCUCAACUAACGGGGUGGGACUAAACUUCCCACCACUUGUCAUGCCACCACCUACAUGGGCCCUUGGAGAUUUUUCUGAAAUUUGUCUUAGGGGCCUAAGGCCUAGUCAAUAGCAGUUUGCAUGCAGGGAGGUGCUGUCGUUGGGCGUCGUGUUAAGUCGAUGAAUGACCGGACUAAUAAGGAUGAUGUCGAUCUCUUUUCUGAAGAUGGUUUAGCGCAGGGCCAGGAUUUGGACAUGAGGGGGCGAAAAACCAAAGCUAUUUAUCCUUUUUUUUAAUUCAUCUUGUGCUUCGUAUACCAUUAUACAUAACUUCCUUUUUUUAGAAAAGGAGGCUGACCUCCGGCUUCUGCAUCAGAACGAUACAUAACUUAUUAGUACUAUUAUUGCUCUUUAAGUUGUGUAUGAACUCUUCAAAAAAAGUAAUUUUAAAAUUCCUUGUUACGUGAUAUAUAUGGUAGGUAUGGUUUGCAUUUUUGUGCAUUUUCCAAGAUAAAAUCAUAUAUUUUCUAUAAUUAGGCAACAACUUCAACGGUUCAAGAAAAUUAAUAAGCCAAAAACUUCAGCAGUUCAAGAAAAUUACCUUGACUUGUAGAUUGUGGACAUUCAACGGUACCUCUAUAGGUUGAAAUGUUAACCACCUCCUGAAUUCACCUAGAAAAGAAAUAAUUGUUACAUUAUUGAUGUGUAUUAUACAAUGUUGUCGUUCUCAAAAUAGGAAAAUCUUGCUUACUUAAUGAAAUCAAUUGUAAGAUUAAGCUUUAGUUUGGCUUCUGCAACCAUCAUUGCACAUGUUUGCACAACUGUUCUCCAAAAUAUAAAAUGAUCAUGCAUGAAUAUUCUCAUGAGUGGUUGAUAAACAUCCUCUAGAAUAUAAAAUCGUCGUGCUUCUUCCUUCUUGUCAGGAGGGAGUUCUCAAAUUUGUUGUCGCUUACGGGACCCCUUUCUUACCUUGUGCGUACAAUUCUACAUUGUUUCGUGACUUCUACUAAUGCCACAAUAUUUUGUUCAUGAGUAUUGUUAUUUGCAAUAGGUUGCUCGUCAUAUUAAAACUUCAUUAAUAUAUGAUGCACUGUUUUAUACAUAAUUACAAUUGACCAAAUUAGGAUUGUAUUAUUCAUAACAGAAUUCCUAAGGGCAACAAGCAUGUAGUGGUACCUUUUUCCUAUAUCUUAUCUUCCGGAGUUUAGUCGUCUUCUGAUAUGUAUGUAACCUGCGUUUGACGCCAGAGAGCUGACUGUAAAUCAACUGAUGAUGUCGUCGUAUUGAGCGACUGCCAGUGAGCAGCGGCGAUGGUAAACACACAUGCACGAGCGGCGAACCGCCGCCGGCGGCAGUGGAAAAAGACUCAAGUUAGCCAGGCCACAACGUACGUGCAUACAUGGACUAUUGAGCUUUGACUUCCUUUAGUUUAGUGCAGUCGGUUGAAAUAGUAAUUUAUAUAUAGGCUAAUAAUACAAUUAGCUCCGGCCAAUUAACGCAUAUACAAUACCUGCUACAAAUACUUGAGGGGGUCGAGCGAUUAAGAGGGGUCAAGCCCCUGCUGGCCCUGCCUGUCUCCGCCCCUGGUUUAGGGGUUCGAUGAUGAUAGUGACUUUUCAAACAUGUGCAUUUGGUGUAUUUUUUAGUUUGUUGUACUCGUUGUAUGUUUUGAUACGUUAUGUGGAUGAAUUAACGAUGACACCGAUUUUAGAUAUGAAAAAUGAGAACAUUGCAUAUUAACAGUGUGAGUAAUGUUUCAGGUGGCUUGAUGUAUGAUUUCGUCAAAUCUUUAUUUGAUAAUUAAUAAAGAUGAAUGUAUGCAUGGAUAGAUACAGAGACGGAGUUUUAAUCUCCUUUUCCAAAAAACAAAACCACAAUUAAUCUAUCUCUCAAAAUGAAGCCCUUUUAUAAGGGCAUCAAUACCCUCUUCACCCCAUCCAUGUGAAAUCUAUCACAGGCAAUUUAUUUUUCAUAGUACCGGUGUGAAAUUGAUGAAGGCACAUCAGGAAUUGGUCACGG